AAAACUGUCAAGUAUAAUGCAAAUAUUUUCUUCCUAUCUCAAUUGAAAGUCUGAGUUCAUUAGGGACUUCCUGUAGUCCUACAAUGUUCAAUCAUGGUGGGAGCUCUUUUAGGGUUCAUUAUAUCCCCUCAGUCUUCACAAGAAAACAUUUUGGUGAUUUUCUUUUUUUCUUUUUUCCUUUUUUGGUCUUUUUAGGGCUAUACCCUCAGCGUGUAGAAAUUCCCAGGCUAGUGGUCAAAUCAGAGCUGCAGCUGCCAGCCUAUUCCACAUCCACAGCAACACCAGAUCCAAGCUGCAUCUGCAACCUACACCAAAGCUCAUAGCAAUGCCAGAUCCUUAACCCACUGAGCGAGGCCAGGGAUCGAACCCACAGCCUCAUGGACACUAGUCAGGUUCAUUACCACUGAGCCAUGAUGGGAACUCCCAAUUUGGUAAUUUUUAAUCUAGCAAUCUGAUUUCCUAGAAUUCUUUACUAGCAGCAGAAAAUGAAUGAAACAUUCUAAGGUCCUGGAGCUUCAUCAGAACAUGGAAUUGUAUGUGUCGUCACUUGUAGAACUAAAACUAGCCACAAUGCUAAUACUAGGGACCGGGUGUUUCCAGGAGGAAUACCUUGAAGUAUGUAUGUUCCUUCCUCCCUUCCUCACUUGAUCAAUUAUCAGGCGUCUUUUAGUAAACUACUUGAUAUCAAGACUAUGUUAGAUGACAUAGAUGGGCUGACAAUGCAAGGUAAGAUGGUUCUGUACACUAACAAAUCAGUCCUGGAGGAAAGAUAUAAACAUAGUUAAUGACAUGUAUGUUACAAGUAUAACCAAGACACAAUAUUAUUGGAAUGCAUCACAAUCACUCGUUUACUUAUUGUCUGUGGCUGCCUUUCACAGCAUAGCAGAGUUGAAUAUUUGCAAGAGAAACCAUAUGGCUCACAGUGCCUAAAAUAUUUCCUAGCUUAUCCUUAAUAGAAAAUAAUGUGCUGAUCUCUGGUCUGGACUUCACCGAGGAAGGCUUAUAAUAAGGCCUAAAAGUAAAGGUCAGAGUACAGAUUGAAACUUGGUUUUAUAUUCAGAUGUCAGGAGGACUAUGUUCCAACCACUAGAUAUAAGACAUUGGACAAAUUUGCCUUAGAUUGUUUUAGCUUUGAAAUCUCAAGGAAAUUUUUAAUGUCUAAGUAUGUGUUCAGCAGGAACUCUGAAAGAGCAUUUACUACACCAAAAGGGGAGUCAGUGUUUGUCACCAUCACCACCAAAAAGCUUUAGGUUAAAAAAAAAAAGCAAAAGCUUUAGGUAGUAAAUAGGCCAUAUGCUGAGAGGAUAGGGCAAAGGCAGAACUUAGAACUUUUUAAUGGUAGGUAUGUGGGAAUUUCAGUUUAAAAACAGUUUCUCAGUAAAUUGGUAAACUGAGAGUAUUUUUUUUUUUACAGAAAAAUAUUUUACACAUAUCCUAACAAUUCAAUGGUGUUGAUUAUGAAACAGUAUCAAUGGAGAGCCAGAUUGAGAUGGGGAAGUUAUCAUUGUUCUGACAAAAAGCUAAAUUACCCCCACUAUUUCUCUGAAGAAGGAAAUUCCCUCCAAUUUUAUGUUUGCCUCUUUCUUUGAUUUGACGGUUCUUUUAAAAACCUUUCUAACAGCUGGAGUGUAUGACCCUUGGAACACAUCAUUUAUCUGGGGAAUAACAUUCAUUUUAAUAUCAUUUCACCAAGGAAGCAAGACUUAAACCCACAUUUUCUGAUCCACUUAGUUGAUAAUAUUCUUCUAAAAAAAUUUCUGGCUGGUGAAAGGAAGAUAAUUUAAUUUAAAGAGAUUAGAUAUAUUGCUUGAAAUGCAAGUCCCCCAGAAUUUGACAGCAGAACAAGACCAGUGAACAGAAAACUCAUCUUGCCUCCUUGCUAAUACAUGCAUCAGGGAAUUUAUAAGUUGGGCCGUCAGUCUUUGCUCCAUGGAGUAAUGUCAGUGUCGUUGCUUCUUAAAAUCUGACAUUCAUUAGAAGCACCCAGUGUGGAUAUGUAGCAGGAUUUUUGACAAAUCAGCCAAGUGUCACCAUUCUGUAGAGGAUUAUAGAGUGAUGCUGCUUGGCUUUGAGCUCUUUCUUUUGUCUGAAUGGAUCUUGUCUUCAUAGAGCACAUGAAAGGUUGGGUUUCAUUUUUGUUCCAAAUGGGCUGAUUUCAUUUUUCUUUUUCCAUCAAAUUAGGGAGAACUUGGGAAAUAUAGGGGGAAGCUAACAUAUAUUAUUCAUUUCCUAUGAGCCAGGUAUUGUGUAGGUCCUUCCCCCUUCCAUUUCUUCCUCCCUCCCUCCCUUCCUCCCUCCCUUCCUCCCUCCCUUCCUUCCUUUCCAUUUACCUAUCUUUCUAUCUAAUCAUUAAACAUAUGUAUUAUAUACAUAUGUGUGUGUAUCACAAUAGCCUAUGAGUUAGCUGCCAUAAUUCAUACCUAUUUAACAGCUAAAGAAACUGAGGUGGAAAGAGGCCCAGUCAUUUGCCAAAGUAAUUGAGCUUCAGUGACUAGGAAGUUUGUAAACUUGGUAGAAAAUAUAUCAGUGACCAACAACUAACAUUCAGAAUUUCAUUGGUCAAGUUGUUCUUCCUACUUUUAUCUUUGCAGGGGAACUAGAAAUCUAAUGCUGGUUGGCUCUUCAAACUUCAUGCUCUCCUCAAAAGCCUUGUGCAGAAACACCAUAGCUGUAUUUAUUAUUUUGAAAACAAGCACACACCUGCCACUGCCCCCAGUUGUGUUGUUAGAUUGGAAACAAUGCCGCCUGUGGCUCUCUAUACCCUCCCCUCUCAUUACAGCCCAUCCUUGGAACACAAUCAUUUUCUGUAUUAUCCAAAGGUGUCAUUAUGGGAUGCCUGCUAUAUAGUUAGUGCAGUGUCAGCAUAUUCAGUUUGAAUACCCCCACCCCCAUCCCCAGAGGAUAUAACUAGGCCAUAAGAAUUCCUUUGGGGCUACUAUAUUGGUUAGGGACAUAGUUGUGUGGCUGGGGGAACAGUUUUCAGUGGCUUACUAUCUAUAGUUUUAGGUCAAAUUUGAAUAAAUUCUCUCCUCAAUUCUAGGAAAACAAUAGCUCCACAGUUUGUGAUGGAAAAGUAAACUGAAUUUGCAUGAAGACUUUGGGGAAGUUGAAACAAGACAAGCCUGGGAUGAAAAGCUGGAAUUAAAAUGUUUUAUUUAAAUUGGAAGUUUUAAAAUGAAUAUUGUGGAGAAGUGUAUGUUCUAGUUAGUGUUUCAUGCUGUAACUUAAUUUUCUAGGAAAUAGUUUAAUGGGAAGUCUGAGGUUUGCACAUACUAUUUCAGGGUCCUGAAUAUUCCACAUAGUAAUGUCUGUGUUUUCCCUGAAGCAACAGCUUUGAAUAAACUAUGUCCUUUUUUCCCAGCUUCAAAUAUUUUUCAAUUGAAAACCAGAAAGGGCUAUCUUCAGAAUGUUUCUUUCAGUUAAAGAACGUAUAGAUUUUUAGCCAUGAGAAUAACUAAAGUUUAUCAUUAGCUAAUGUAAAAACUGCUUUUUAUUAAGCAGAGGCUAAGAGCACAGACCAUGGAAUCAGAAUGCCUGAGCAAUUUGAAUCUCACAAACUCCGCAAUUUAUAAGCCAUGCAACCUUGGGCAGGUUCCACAACCUCUUUGUGUGCCUACUUCCUCCUCCGUAAGAUUAAGGUAAUUACACCUUCCUCAGUAGGGAUGUUAGGAGGAUUAAAUGAGUGAAUUCAUGUGUUGGGAAGGAAAAGCUUUUCCUCUACCUUCUUAGGUUCUAUACAGGGGGCCUGUGAAUUAAAGUAAUAAAAGACAUAUUAACAGGAAAAAAGGCAUAUAAUGUUUAUUAAUAUUUGCAUGCAUAAGGUUUCACAAAAAAAGUGGUUAGAUUUAGGGACUUACAGGCAAUUUUAACGAAGGAGAGGAGGUUUUGGCUUCAGGGGAAGUGAAAUAUAUGGGGAAAUAUAUAGGGGAGCUAAGGGAAGACAACAGUUAUUUUAGCAAGGUCUGUGUAUGCAAACUUACCUCUGUUGACUCUUUCAGUGAUAAGAGCAUUCUCCCUCUCCUGGUACAGAAAGGGGGUGGAGAAACACCUUCAGGAAGAAAAAUUUUUGCUCUGAUUUUAAGCAGAUAAGUGGAGGGCAGAGAACUCUUUCUGCAUCUGCUGAUUCUCAGUUGCCAUCCACUCAAAAUAAUCAUUAUGCCUAUAUAGCAUAUUUGGGGGUGCCAUAUCCUGAUUCCCUCCACAUGUAAAGCAUUUAGAACAGUUCCAAACACAGGGUAAAGGCUGUAUGCAUUAUAAUUCUUACUGUAUUAACUCUAAAACUGUCUGGCACUGUUAAAAACAUCUACUCGAAUCCUCACAACAACCAUGAAAGGUAAAUUAACCUCCAUUUUACAGAUGAGAGAACCAAGGCUCAGAGAGUUGGCUUGACUUUCCCCAGGCUAAACAGAUCAUAAAUCAGAGUUAGGAAAUGAGCUGAGAGCUGGCACUUUCAGUGUGUACCAGAGAGACAGGAACAGGAAACUGACCCUGAGUCUUAGGGUUUUUCCAGGCAGGGCUUGGAGGAGCUUUCUGAAGUAGUGCUCACUGCUUCUUUAACUGAGCAGACCUUUCAUAUCCCCAAGUAACAGUCCAGGAUUGGAGGGCAAUUCCAAUCUCUGGAGAAACAUUAGUUUAAUACUAAGAAAAGAAUCAAAUUUGCAUAAGUAUUGUAGUUACAAACAAUCAUCAAGGGCGAACUGCAUGCCAGGAGCUCCUGGGAGAUGCAGAUGCUGAGAAUUCUUCAACAGCUCCCAGGCCUUCAGGGAAAGCCUGAUUACCCAGGGCACCCCAGGCACAAGUGCGGAAUCUAGUGAUGCUCCCUCUUCCUUCUUCCCCUCCUCUUUGCCAACACACAGCCCCUGAGGGACUGCAGUACAAAGGGAUACUCUGAACCCAGUGGCUUCCUCGGAGAAGCUUCCUGGAGGGCGGCGUUUCCUUAGGGGGCUCUGCAGGAUGAGAUAAACAGAAGAGUAAGGAAGGCAUCUUUUACUUCUAUGGGCUCCUCAACCACUUGGUGUUAGUCAUCUGGGUUAUCCUCUACACCUGGGAUGUUGGUUAAGUCUAAACCACACCCUCUGUCACCCACACCUCACCCCACCUCUCAGUCAUAGUGUAGCAUCGCUUCGCCCUCCAGAGGUAACCCUAGGGGUGGGUGUAAAGGCUCUGACCCAAGGGCUGCGCGGAGGAACCUCCGGCGCCACGCUGGGUGUGUGAGGUGCGCAUGCGUGCGGCCCUAAAUCUCAAGCCUGCGGGAGCCUCAAGGGCCCGGGCAGCAGAGGCUUUUGGAGCUGGAACCUGGGCCCCAGUCCGAUGCCUGCCAAGGUCCAAGGCCGCUGCAACGUGCUUAUGCUGUUCCACUGCACAUCCUUGGGGCCAGCUGUUCCUCCCAGCAGCUGCAGGCGUCUAAAAUUCGUCCCUUGGAGACCGUCACGCCUGCUCUUCAAACUUUUCUCCUGAAGGGCAGCUUCAGGUCAGUACUCUCUUUUUUAAACACCUUAAGCUAUCGGGGAGCUGGUCCCUUUACACAGUCCCCUCCAUCAUACAAUAUUCUCUCUUCUAAACACCAAGGGGAACACCUGUGGGUCGCGACGUCGGUCUUGUAAGGUAUAUGGUUUCUCAGGAAGGCAAACAGGGGGCAGCAGGAGCCAGAAGGAUGUGCCCUGUGACGAUCGAUUGGGGUGCGCCAAGCUUCAGAGGCUGCGUAGAGGAUGGUGGAAGCUGGCAGCUCCGAUCACUCCUCUUAGCGGAAGCUGGAUCUCACGAAGUCUCAGGAGUUCUACAGGGUCUAAGGGGAGUCUUGGAGUGAGAAAUGCCAAGGUGAACUUGAAAUGAGUUGAGUUGAACCGUGCCCCAAAUAUGGGAGCUAGUAAAUUAUGGGCAGAUUUUUUGCAAGAAAGUGAAGGAGUUGAGACAGGGUUAGAGAGUGAAGACUGGAAUAUGUGUGCAAGGGGAGGGUGUAUUAAAGGCAGGGGGUUGUGGCGCUGAAUUGUAGCUCAGUUCACCAAGUAGGUGGAUCAACCAUCAGUCCCUCUGCCUUGUUGAUGGGGGCUAUGGAAGGCAUCCCAGGAUGUUUACAGGCUGCUUGGGGGUUCAGGAUGACCAGAUCCAGCAAGGGUUCUUAACAAUGUAGACUAUAGUAGUUCCGAAGAGCCAGGUUCUCCCCGGGCACUGCAGUUUUCAGGGAGGGACUGUGAAGAAGGGAGGGCUUGGGCGGGUGAUUAAGGAAAUUGCUCCAUGACCAGGAAAAUGUCAUCUAAAAAGCGUCUGAUAGUUUUCCAGCUUUGAUGUGUGUUCAAUGACACGGACCCUGACCAGAAUAGAAAGUUACUAAUAAUAGCUAACAUUUAUUGAGAGCCUGUAGGUCAGAGGCUUUGCCAAGCACUCUGCAUGGACUACUGACUUGGGUCGGGCUAGAAAUAUUUACUAAGUGUCUGCUGCGUGUCAGACAUUGUUUUAGGAGUUCCCGUCGUGGCGCAGUGGUUAACUAAUCCGACUAGGAACCAUGAGGUUGUGGGUUUGGUCCCUGCCCUUGCUCAGUAGGUUAACGAUCUGGCGUCGCCGUGAGCUGUGGUGUAGGUUGCAGACGCGGCUCGGAUCCCGCGUUGCUGUGGCUUUGGCGUAGGCUGGUGGCUACAGUUCCGAUUGGACCCCUAGCCUGGGAACCUCCAUAUGCCGCUGGAGCGGCCCAAGAAAUAG
rnacentral:lncRNA from 1 species